GACGAACGCUGGCGGCGUGCCUAAUACACGCAAGUGGGACGCAAGGGAACACACUGUGCUUGCACACCGUGUUUUCUUGAGUCGCGAACGGGUGAGUAACGCGUAGGUAACCUGCCUAUUAGCGGGGGAUAACUAUUGGAAACGAUAGCUAAUACCGCAUAAUAUUAAUUAUUGCAUGAUAAUUGAUUGAAAGAUGCAAGCGCAUCACUAGUAGAUGGACCUGCGUUGUAUUAGCUAGUUGGUAAGGUAAGAGCUUACCAAGGCGACGAUACAUAGCCGACCUGAGAGGGUGAUCGGCCACACUGGGACUGAGACACGGCCCAGACUCCUACGGGAGGCAGCAGUAGGGAAUCUUCGGCAAUGGACGAAAGUCUGACCGAGCAACGCCGCGUGAGUGAAGAAGGUUUUCGGAUCGUAAAGCUCUGUUGUAAGUCAAGAACGUGUGUGAGAGUGGAAAGUUCACACAGU
rnacentral:rRNA from 1 species